rnacentral:rRNA from 1 species
AAAAAAUCCGGUCAAAUUUUCAUUGUAAAUAUGAAUUCCUUUGUUAUAAGAGCAGCUAAACCUUAUUUGGCCACUACAGCAGCAGCUGUUAAUGGUCAUUAUGGAGAAAUCCUUUACAAGGGAGAUAGGUUAGUUACGUUUAUAUAUGAAAAAUCGAGAUCUAGUGACAUAACGCAAGGUUUUCCAAAAGUGGAACAAAUCUUUGAAGCGCGUUCAAUUGAUUCAUUAUCCCCGAAUCUUGAAAGGAGAAUUGAGGAUUGGAAUGAGCGUAUACCAAGAAUUCUUGGGGUCCCUUGGGGAUUCUUGAUUGGAGCUGAGCUAACCAUAGCCCAAACUCGUAUCUCUUUGGUUAAUAAAAUCCAAAAGGUUUAUCGAUCCCAAGGGGUACAGAUCCAUAAUAGACAUAUAGAGAUUAUUAUAUGCCAAGUAACAUCAAAAGUGCGGGUUUUCGAAGAUGGAAUAUCUAAUGUUUUUUCGCCUGGGGAAUUAAUCGGACUAUUGCGAGCGGAACGAGCAGGACGAGCUUUGGAUGAAUCGAUCUAUUAUUGUGUAAUCUUAUUGUGA